rnacentral:rRNA from 1 species
GUGGGGAAUCUUCCACAAUGGACGAAAGUCUGAUGGAGCAACGCCGCGUGAGUGAAGAAGGGUUUCGGCUCGUAAAGCUCUGUUGUCGGGGACGAAUGUGCAGUAUUUGAAUAAAGUAGUGCAAUGACGGUACCUGACGAGGAAGCCACGGCUAACUACGUGCCAGCAGCCGCGGUAAUACGUAGGUGGCAAGCGUUGUCCGGAAUUAUUGGGCGUAAAGGGAGCGCAGGCGGGAAGGUAAGUCGGUCUUAAAAGUGCGGGGCUCAACCCCGUGAUGGGAUCGAAACUAUCUUUCUUGAGUGCAGGAGAGGAAAGUGGAAUUCCUAGUGUAGCGGUGAAAUGCGUAGAUAUUAGGAGGAACACCAGUGACGAAGGCGACUUUCUGGACUGUAACUGACGCUGAGGCUCGAAAGCCAGGGGAGCGAACGGGAUUAGAUACCCUGGUAGUCC